rnacentral:sRNA from 1 species
GAAGGUUGAGAGGCUCUUCGUCGUAGUAGGAAGGCGCGUGGGCAGGUCGGCGUAAGCCGGCCGGCGAAAGCACCCGCGCGCGGUAAGCAGGCCCCGGAAGGGGCUUUUUUCAUGCCCGAU